GCACACUCACGGACAGCCUGUGCCGAGCUCCCUCCUGGGCGGUGAGGCGAAGAGCCAGCGCCGGCGGCAGGACGUCGCGGGCGGGGACAGGAGGCGAUGAGCUGCGGCUGCUGAGGGAGGCCUUGGCACGCUGGCUCCUCUCUGCUGGCCCAGAUACGACAAUCUGGAAACCUGGCUCUUAGUGCUCUCUAAAAAGUAGCUCAUAGUAGGCACUCCAGCUUUUGCCCACUUGACAAAAACUCAAGGGAGGAAUCUCCAGACCCUGAUCAAAUACCACUGGUCUCAAGACAUUCAUCUAAGACACCCAGGAUUCCUUUGCCUGAUGUCUCAGGUGGGCAGAGACUGGGGAUGGAAUUGAAAGUUGCAUUUUAUUUCCAGUACCUAAUUGGGGGAAUACAAUACAAGUUUGUAUUCUACAAAUUUGCUUAUUAAAGUGAGAACUGCAAAAUGAAACUGGUAGGUGUGAGGUAACAAGAGAGUCCUCAUCAUUUUCCUUCCCUAAAUCCACUGUAGGAAACUGUGGCAUCUCGGGUCUAGUUAUGAAAAGCAGCAGUAGUAAUGCCAGUAGGACCCAGAGGAAGUGAUGUCUACCAGUAGUGGCUGUGAAUACUCUGCCUUCUUGUGUAGGUCUCCAAUUAGUAGGAUUUAAGUUCUUUAGCAAAAAUUGAGCACUUCCUGUAUAGUGGACACUCUUGGGAAAGGCAGUCUCCUCCUCACAGUCCUUUAAGCCCUACUCAACUAAAUAAGAAUGGGCCUUGGUCCUAGAAUACUUGCUUACCAAUAGUCCUAAAGAGCCUAUGUAGCCUAUUCUGGGCUUACCACCUUAUGUGGGAAUAUCCUUCCCUGUGCCAGACUCGGUAUGUAAUCCUUUGUUCAGAUUAAGCACUAAAUCAAAUAUCCCUAGGGCAUGCUCCCCCACCCCAUUUCAGUAUUUCACACUCCAUGGGUAGGGGUGACUUGUGCUUAGGCA